rnacentral:rRNA from 1 species
GACGAACGCUGGCGGCGUGCUUAACACAUGCAAGUCGAGCGGUAAGGCCCUUUCGGGGGUACGACGAGCGGCGAACGGGUGAGUAACACGUGGGUGACCUGCCCUCAGCUCUGGGAGUAAGCCUGGGAAACUGGGUCUAAUACUGGAUAUGACUCCACGGUGCAUGUCGUGGGGUGGAAAGCCUUGUGCGGCUGAGGAUGGGCCCGCGGCCUAUCAGCUUGUUGGUGGGGUGA